GUGAAUCAUCAAAUUUUUGAACGCAAAUUGCACUUUCCGGUUUUCCGGGAGAGUAUGCCUGUUUGAGGGUCUGUUUAAAAAUUAAUCGAAGCUGCUGCUGUGGUGGCUCUUCGGAAUUGGGUUAUCUUUCACCUUUCGGUUGUAGGCGACCUAUAAUUUUUUUUACGAUUUAUACGAACGUGUCUAAGAAUUUCUUCUACGUUCACGUCAUAGAAAUCA
rnacentral:misc_RNA from 1 species